rnacentral:rRNA from 1 species
UGGGGAAUAUUGCACAAUGGGCGCAAGCCUGAUGCAGCCAUGCCGCGUGUGUGAAGAAGGCCUUAGGGUUGUAAAGCACUUUCAGCGAGGAGGAAGGCACCAUACUUAAUACGUGUGGUGAUUGACGUUACUCGCAGAAGAAGCACCGGCUAACUCCGUGCCAGCAGCCGCGGUAAUACGGAGGGUGCAAGCGUUAAUCGGAAUUACUGGGCGUAAAGCGCACGCAGGCGGUUUGUUAAGUCAGAUGUGAAAUCCCCGCGCUUAACGUGGGAACUGCAUUUGAAACUGGCAAGCUAGAGUCUUGUAGAGGGGGGUAGAAUUCCAGGUGUAGCGGUGAAAUGCGUAGAGAUCUGGAGGAAUACCGGUGGCGAAGGCGGCCCCCUGGACAAAGACUGACGCUCAGGUGCGAAAGCGUGGGGAGCAAACAGG